rnacentral:rRNA from 1 species
AUUGAACGCUGGCGGCAUGCUUUACACAUGCAAGUCGAACGGCAGCGCGGGCUUCGGCCUGGCGGCGAGUGGCGAACGGGUGAGUAAUGCAUCGGAACGUGCCCAGUAGUGGGGGAUAGCCCGGCGAAAGCCGGAUUAAUACCGCAUACGACCUGAGGGUGAAAGCGGGGGACCGAAAGGCCUCGCGCUAUUGGAGCGGCCGAUGUCGGAUUAGCUAGUUGGUGGGGUAAAGGCCUACCAAGGCGACGAUCCGUAGCUGUCUGAGAGGACGACCAGCCACACUGGGACUGAGACACGGCCCAGACUCCUACGGGAGGCAGCAGUGGGGAAUUUUGGACAAUGGGGGCAACCCUGAUCCAGCCAUGCCGCGUGCGGGAAGAAGGCCUUCGGGUUGUAAACCGCUUUUGUUCGGGAAGAAAUCCUCUGGGCUAAUACCCCGGGGGGAUGACGGUACCGGAAGAAUAAGCACCGGCUAACUACGUG